rnacentral:misc_RNA from 1 species
GAUGAAGAACGCAGCGAAAUGCGAUAAGUAAUGUGAAUUGCAGAAUUCAGUGAAUCAUCGAAUCUUUGAACGCACAUUGCGCCCGCCAGUAUUCUGGCGGGCAUGCCUGUUCGAGCGUCAUUACAACCCUCAGGCCCCCGGGCCUGGCGUUGGGGAUCGGCGGAAGCCCCCUGCGGGCACAACGCCGUCCCCCAAAUACAGUGGCGGUCCCGCCGCAGCUUCCAUUGCGUAGUAGCUAACACCUCGCAAGUGGAGAGCGGCGCGGCCACGCCGUAAAACACCCAACUUCUGAAUGUUGACCUCGAAUCAGGUAGGAAUACCCGCUGAACUUAAGCAUAUCAAUAAGCGGAGGA